UACGGGGGGAGCAAGCGUUGUUCGGAUUUACUGGGCGUAAAGGGCGCGUAGGCGGUCGUGACAAGUCACUUGUGAAAUCUCCGGGCUUAACUCGGAACGGUCAAGUGAUACUGUCGGACUAGAGUACAGAAGGGGCAACUGGAAUUCUCGGUGUAGCGGUGAAAUGCGUAGAUAUCGAGAGGAACACCUGCGGCGAAGGCGCCGCUCUGGGCCGUGACUGACGCUGAGGAGCGAAAGCGUGGGUAGCAAACAGG
rnacentral:rRNA from 1 species